rnacentral:rRNA from 1 species
GGGGGGGGGCGGCCUACCAUGCAAGUCGAACGGCAGCACAGUAAGAGCUUGCUCUUAUGGGUGGCGAGUGGCGGACGGGUGAGGAAUACAUCGGAAUCUACUCUUUCGUGGGGGAUAACGUAGGGAAACUUACGCUAAUACCGCAUACGACCUACGGGUGAAAGCGGAGGACCUUCGGGCUUCGCGCGAUUGAAUGAGCCGAUGUCGGAUUAGCUAGUUGGCGGGGUAAAGGCCCACCAAGGCGACGAUCCGUAGCUGGUCUGAGAGGAUGAUCAGCCACACUGGAACUGAGACACGGUCCAGACUCCUACGGGAGGCAGCAGUGGGGAAUAUUGGACAAUGGGCGCAAGCCUGAUCCAGCCAUGCCGCGUGGGUGAAGAAGGCCUUCGGGUUGUAAAGCCCUUUUGUUGGGAAAGAAAAGCAGUCGGUUAAUACCCGAUUGUUCUGACGGUACCCAAAGAAUAAGCACCGGCUAACUUCGUGCCAGCAGCCGCGGUAAUACGAAGGGUGCAAGCGUUACUCGGAAUUACUGGGCGUAAAGCGUGCGUAGGUGGUGGUUUAAGUCUGUUGUGAAAGCCCUGGGCUCAACCUGGGAAUUGCAGUGGAUACUGGGUCACUAGAGUGUGGUAGAGGGUAGCGGAAUUCCCGGUGUAGCAGUGAAAUGCGUAGAGAUCGGGAGGAACAUCCGUGGCGAAGGCGGCUACCUGGACCAACACUGACACUGAGGCACGAAAGCGUGGGGAGCAAACAGGAUUAGAUACCCUGGUAGUCCACGCCCUAAACGAUGCGAACUGGAUGUUGGGUGCAAUUUGGCACGCAGUAUCGAAGCUAACGCGUUAAGUUCGCCGCCUGGGGAGUACGGUCGCAAGACUGAAACUCAAAGGAAUUGACGGGGGCCCGCACAAGCGGUGGAGUAUGUGGUUUAAUUCGAUGCAACGCGAAGAACCUUACCUGGUCUUGACAUCCACGGAACUUUCCAGAGAUGGAUUGGUGCCUUCGGGAACCGUGAGACAGGUGCUGCAUGGCUGUCCUCAACUCCUGUCCUGAAAUGUUGGGUUAAUUCCCCCCAACGAACCCCAACCCUUGUCCUUAUUUGCCACCCCGUAAUGGUGGGAACUCUAAGGAAACCCCCGGGGAAAAACCGGAGGAAGGUGGGGAUGACCUCAGGUCUUCUGGGCCCUUAAAACAGGGGUUAACCCCUUACUAAAAGGGGUGGGGAAGAAGGGCUGGCAACCCCCGAAGGGGAAGCCAAUCCCAAAAACCCUUUUCCCGCCCGGGAUGGGAGUCGGCACCCCCCCCCCUGAAAGGGGGAACCCCUUAAAUCCCCAAAAAA